AGCUCCAUAGCUCAGUGGUUAGCGCACUAGCCUUGUAAGCAAGGGGUUGCGAGUUCGAUCCUCGCUGGGGCCU